UACAGAGGUCUCGAGCGUUAGGCGGAAUCACUGGGCUUAAAGCGUGUGUAGGCGGAUCGGUAAGUACCUUGUGAAAUCCCACAGCUUAACUGUGGAACUGCUUGGUAUACUGCCAGUCUUGAGCCAGCUAGGGGCGACCGGAACAGACGGUGGAGCGGUGAAAUGCGUAGAUAUCGUCUGGAACGCCAAUGGUGAAAACAGGUCGCUGGGGCUGUGCUGACGCUGAGACACGAAAGCCAGGGGAGCAAACGGG
rnacentral:rRNA from 1 species